GACCUAGAUGGCCGCGACGGUUCUUCGCAAGAAGAUCAAAAGGGAACGCGGUGCGGGGCCUCCCACUUGGAAUGGCCCCUAUGCCGCGGCUGCCCCCGCAACUGUAAGCGGUUAGUCUUUCGUCUGAUGCCACUGGGUGCUUCGGUCCUGGGAAGGCGACGGAAGGUCAACGACCCGCGAGCCAGGAGACCUGCCGUCGAUCGUGGUCACAC
rnacentral:ncRNA from 2 species